rnacentral:tRNA from 1 species
GCAUUCGUAGCUCAGAAUGGAAGAGCACUCGGCUACGAACCGAGAGGUCGUAGGUUCGAAUCCUUCCGAAUGCA